CCCCAUCUGCUUUUGCCCUGGCUCAUGUCACAUGGGGGUCUGGGAUGAUUCGUCUGGCUUGAACUCAGGGCCUCUGCCCAAAGAAACUGCUCCCAGGACCCCAGUGGCCAAGUCUCCCUCUAGGGAGCUGUGAGCCAGCUCUGGAGAGAGCAGCCUGGGAGCGGCACCCAUGUGCUUCUGACUCACCUUUCAGGGCAGUGUCUCAGGGCCAGGAGAACCCAGAGCAGGUGCGGGCCUCUGUGAAGAAAGAGCCUGUGGCAGGGCCCUGAGAUGGGUGGGCGGCCCCACCUCCCUUUCCCCUGCCUGCCAUCAGGUCUAGCACUACCCAUUCAAAAGGGGGUCACCCCAUUCCAGGCAUGCAGCUGGAUGGCCUCUGUGACGGAGCACACUAUGGACUGCAUGUGUGGAGAGUCGCCUGCACCUGGAGGCUGGGCUGUGAGGAGCACAGUCCUGCAUAGGGGCCUGCGGCCUGACCCUACCCUCACUGGGAACCCCCUUCCUUCCUGGGUGCCAGCCCCAGAACUGGAACGAGGAGCUGCAGACAGUGAGGGACCUGCCAACAAGAACCGACCUGAGCAGCUGCUGCAAGAAAGAGCCAUGUUCAAGGGGCCCGAAGCCCCUGGAGCUGCCAGAGGGGUGCCCCCAUGCCACCUUCUCCUGCACCUACAGGCACAGCUUCUGUUGCUUGCACCAGGAGCUGGUGGAUGCCUUUGUGGAGCACAGGAGCAUUUGGAAGUCGCUGGGUGGUUGUGA
rnacentral:lncRNA from 1 species